AAGUUCAAUUCUAAUUGGACAACUGUUGAUAAGGUGGGUGGAGAGGCAAUAUUCCCUCUCUUUUUUGUCUCAUUUUCUCGUUUGGAGUAAAAGGUAGAGCAGUAGCUUCUUGCUUUUUUGUAUUAUGGUUACUGGAAAUGUGGAGAUCUAAAAGGAAGAACCUCACUUUUUGGAUCUUUGUUUUCGACUCUUUGCACAUUGGCAAGCGUGUUUGCUCUUAACUUUGGCAAAGCAACCCAAGGAAACAAGAACCUGAUCGGUGUUCAACAAUCGUCCGGUCCUGGACAUUAUUUUGGCUCUUCAUCUUAACGUGGAUGUAGCGAAGAUUGACAUAUUAACAGAAUUCAAUGAAAAUCUGAUGCAAAUACUACGUCAACUUGUGAACAGGGCUACCAUUUCGAGAAACACCAAAGUUGCACUUAAACUUCCAUGGUGAUUUCCCCAUUAGAAGAAUCGCAUUACGAUAUAGCAGGUAUGUUUGAAAACAGG